AAACCUAACCGUAAUUGAACCUCAUUGUCAUUUAUCUAUGGCCAUCUAUGGUGGUUUUUCACCAUCUCGAGGCAUCUAAUGGCCUCUCCUAUGCUGGUAUCACCAUCUCCAGGGUCCUCAGGGGACCAGGGUUAGUUGCUUGCAUCUAUGGCCCUUUCUCUCCUAUUUCAGGUUGUACCGGUUUGAUUUCGAGUAAGAUCUUCCUAUUUCGCCUUAGAUCGAUGGGUAUCUAAACUUACUUCUUCACCUCUGUGUUGUUUUUCUCG
rnacentral:lncRNA from 1 species